UAAAUAGAGUUAGUGAUGGAUCCCUAUUGAAUGGAAAAAUCUCAAUCCUUCAUUAUAGAAAGACCAAAUCUAAGCCCUUCAUUUAUCAUUUACUCUUCUAAAAAUUAAAAAAAAAAUUAACCCUAAAUCCAUAAGAGCAAAUCUCAGCUCUUCAAUCUUUCAUCCGUUGGAUGAAAACACUCUAGAAGACCAAACCAAUCUCUAUUAUUAAAAUCCCUAUUUUUUUGCCCCAUCAAACCCUAAUAACUUAUCGUCUUCUCCUCACCCCUCUUCACUCGUCCUCUCACUCCGAACUGCAACAAAUCGAAAUUCUAUCUAUUUUCUAAGUUAAUUUCCACUUCAUUUAUCUGCAUUUGGUCGAUUACUCGAUUUAGUGUUCUAAUUGGCAAACUUUUGUGUUUGUUAGGUGGUGAAGAAUGAAGAUGAAGGACGACACUUCACGUUAUGUAUUUCCCACUUUCCUCUAUUUUUGUAUGUGAAUGUUUGUCUACUUUUUCAGGAUUUCGGUUUUAGAAUUUUGAAUAUAUAUUUUGUAAAUUUAUAUUCGGAUUAUGAUUCAAUUAAGCUUGAAAUUUUCAUGUUCAAUUUACGGUUGUUGGUUUGAAUUAGUAAACGAACUAAUUAUGCUAAUUGUUAUAGCUUAUUAGGGUUUGAGUUUCAUGAAAUUCGACUUUUCUAAGCUGGAGUUUUCUUGGUUGAAUUUCAUCUAAAUGUGAUGCGAGUCUUGAUAUUUGUGGGUUUCUUCUCAAAAAAUAUCCCAAAUUUGAUUCGGAUCAUAAUUUUACCCUCUUUUAUCUUCUUUUUAUAAAUUCAUUUUUUCCUUUCUUUUUUCUGUCUUAAGUUCUUAGAUUCGGUCAUGGCAGGUUUUACAAGCUCGCUAAAUUCUGGCGAUACCGGUGGUGAUCUUUCCAGCUUAUUUGAAUAGGAAGAAACUUCAAAUCUGGUACCAUACUCAAUUCAAUUUCUUAUACCUUAAUUUUUUUUAUUUUAUUUGUGCUUUGAUUUAGCUCAAUGAUUUCUAAAUAUUUUGAUUUUGGGUUGAUAUCCGUUUUUUUUGUUAUACUCAUGCUUUAUUAUCUUGUUUAUCAUUUUUUUUCAUGAUCAUUUGCCUAUUAAACUCCACUUUCCUCGAUUUACGCUUGUUGGUUUGAAUUAUUAAACGAACUAAUUAUGCUAAUUGUUAUAGCUUAUUAGGGUUUGAGUUUCAUGCAAUUCGACUUUUCUAAGCUGGAGUUUUCUUGGUUGAAUUUCAUCUAAAUGUGAUGCGAGUCUUGAUAUUUGUGCGUUUUUUCUCAAAAAAUAUCCCGAAUUUGAUUGAAUCAUAAUUUUACCCUCUUUUAUCUUCUUUUUAUAAAUUCAUUUUUUCCUUUCUUUUUUCUGUCUUAAGUUCUUAGAUUCGGUCAUGGCCGGUUCUACAAGCUCGCUAAAUUCUGGCGAUACCGGUGGUGAUCUUUCCGGCUCAUUUGUAUAGGAAGAAACUUCAAAUCUGCUAUGUACUUGAUGGAGUGUCGAGAAUGAGGGAACGACCUGUUGGGGAUUUGGUAGCAGGUUUAAAGCAACUUGGCGCAAAUUGAUCCCUGAUUACUUUGAUGAAAACUAGGAGAUGAAAAUUGUUAUCUGCUUGAGUUAUCAUCACAUUCUUUGUACCAUGAUUGUAAUAUUAUUAUAGUAUAGAGUUUACAAAGUAUACUACUAAUAAUUGUAAUAAUUUUUAGGAUCAAAGGAAGUAGUUGCCCGAUGUGAUCUUGGACAAAAAGGAUUUCCCAAUGUGCUUUGCAUAAAUUUGGUCAAACAUAGUUAGCAUAUACUGACUUGAUUCAAUAAAGGGACUUGAUUCAAUA